UGCGGGGUCGUCUAACGGCAGGACACCCGGCUCUGGACCGGGCAGUCUAGGUUCGAAUCCUAGCCCCGCAG
rnacentral:tRNA from 1 species